rnacentral:rRNA from 1 species
CAAUAGCGUAUAUUAAAGUUGUUGCGGUUAAAAAGCUCGUAGUUGGAGUUCUGCCAGGUGCCGCCUGUCCGCCCCAGUGGUGAGUACGUGGCGCGCAUUUGGCCCUUUCAAGGGGAGCGUAUCUGCACUUUAUUGUGUGGUGCGGGAUCCUUGACUUUUACUUUGAGGAAAUAGGAGUGUUCCAAGCAGGCUCUCGUCGUGCACAGCUCAGCAUGGAAUAAUAGCAUUGGACCUCGAUUCUAAGCUGUUGGUUGCCAGAAGCGAGGUAAUGAUGAAGAGGGAUAGUUGGGGGCAUUCGUAUUUAACUGUCAGAGGUGAAAUUCCUGGAUUUGUUAAAGACGGACUACUGCGAAAGCAUUUGCCAAGGAUGUUUUCAUUGA